AUUGAACGCUAGCGGGAUGCCUUACACAUGCAAGUCGAGCGGGUUGGCGAACGGGUGAGUAAGGUAUCGGAACGUGCACAGGAGCGGGGGAUAACUACGAGAAAGCGUAACUAAUAUUGCAUCCUCUUGGAACGGCAGAUAUCGGAUUAGCUAGUGGGUGGGGUAACGGCACACCAAGGCGACGAUCCGUAGCUGGUGUGAGUGGAAGACCAGCCACACUGGAACUGAGACACGGCCCAGACUCCUACGGGAGGCAGCAGUGGGGAAUUUUGGACAAUGGGGGAAACCCUGAUGCAGCCAUGCCGCGUGUGCGAUGAAGGCCUUCGGGUUGUAAAGCACUUUUGGCAGGAAAGCGGUACCUGCAGAAUAAGCACCGGCUAACUACGUGCCAGCAGCCGCGGUAAUUC
rnacentral:rRNA from 1 species